rnacentral:lncRNA from 1 species
UAGAUACCAAUCGUCACAUGCAUACAGUAGAUGCCAAGACAUCACCAGCCAUCACAUGUUUGACCAAAAAAUAGGCUUGCUAGCUAGAGUUUGCUACAUCUAACUGAUUAAGCAUCUCAUUAGCACGUACAUACUGAUGUAGGUCAACUAGAGUUUCCUACAUUACAGAACAUGUACUAGCAUGUUAACUAUACAUGCACCAAAAUAUUACUCCACGCACUGUACAUCCAAGAACAUCAAGGAACCAACUGACUGCUCAAUAGCGAUAGGCUUAGUGCACCGGUUCCAGACUGACUAAAAAAUCCCCCAAACAUCCCUUCAUCGUCUACAGCAGGAACACUUGCAGCAGUAACAUGUUCCUGAAAAGAAAGAUUCACAAAAUCUCAAAAGCUGGAACAUGACAAUAAGAACUUAUUAGAGGAACUACAGGCAACUCUGUGUUCCAAUGAAAAUUAGUGAGUUACAUCAAGUCGACAAAGUCUAAACAGAAUUUCCUAUUUCCAGUAAUUAGAACAAAGGCAUGCAAAAUCUGGUAUAAAUUUUGGCAGCAUAACAACUAUAAACUGGACAAUUGGACACAAAAUAUAUUAUGAUCCCUCCAACAUCCUCACACAGCCCCAUUAAUCAACAUUAAUCCCAAAUGAUCCAGCACCACACAGGCUAGCAUCACACAUCACAUAAGCAUGCAUAUUGUCACAAGUAUGUGAAUAGGUAUCUCCCAACUUAUCCAUACACACAUAAGUAAUGCAACUACACACGCUGCAUCGUUCCGAAUCAGUUCACUGGUUGUUUUGGUACAACUAAAUGAGACCAAAGACUAUACUGAAGGAAGGAUAAACAUUUACUACCAACAAUAGCCAUGUGAAACUAUUAUUUGCACAUAGAAACAACAAUAUGUACUACUAUGUUUGAAGCACCCUAUGGUGCAUUGCAUUCGUAUUUUAUCCCAAUCAAGAAAUUAUACUACAAACAGCUCUAACAUUCUCUUCUGAAAAGGAAAGAAGGCAAACAUGCAUUGUUCAAUAUACCCCUCUUACUAAGUUAUUUAACCCUGGAAGGUCACAACGAACAGACCAUUACUAUUUGUAUCAUUUGAGAUCAGUUUGAGAAAUACAUACAUUAUUAGAGCUAGGAUUUGUUUCUUUUUGAGCACACAAAGCUGGCGAUUCUUUGCUAUUUUCUAGAAUCUGCAAAAGAAGAGCCAGGUUUUAGAAGUAACCCUUAUCAUGCUUUAAAUGUAUUAAUGUGUGUGUGUGUGUGUUUGCUUAAGAUGGAUGAUUACAUACUUGGAUGGUAGAUCGUUGCGGAGAUCCAGGAGGAGAAAGCGAACGAAAAGGAGGUGGAACCGGCGGCGGUGGUAUUUCUCCAAUAGGCACUCCUUGCUUAGUUGCCAAAGUCUGCAAAAAAAGAAAAUUCACAUAGUGGUUACUUUCAAAUGCUAGCAAAUUAAUUGAUAAACAUGGAAUGUAUAACCAGCACCUGAAGAAACUUUUGUAUCUCAUUGCAGUGCUCGUACAUGCCAACACCCCAUGACAAGACAUUGUUGGCAUAAGCCUCUGCUUUUCGAGUCUUCUCGGACUCCUUUUGACGCACAUCUUCAAUUUCUUCAGCUCGACGACGCUUCAAGGCUGCUGAAGAUGUACCAGUAGCUCUCACCUCAGAAAUGACCUCGAUGUCAUUGACAAUGCCAUUAAAGAGAGACCAUGUACCAUGUGGCUUCCCAUUAGAGCAAUCAUAAAGUGCCUUAGAACUAACAUCAUUUUUCAGGAUAUCAUAGUCCUAUCCAUUUAACUCUUUAGCCUUUUCUGUGUAAAGUGCCUACUCAAGAAGAAAACAAAGGUACACAAAUGUUUAGGAAUUUCAAAUAAUUGUGUAAAGCUCCUAUUACACAAUUUCACAAGUGGGCAGACAAAUUGACAUACAAAUUGGACAAACAAGUUGACAUGCAAAAACACUAAAUUCAGACCAGACUUCAUAAGGAUGUGUUUGGUUUGAGAAAAGUAUAUAUAUUGGCAUUAUUCCAUGGUAUUGCUAAAAAACACAUACCAAACAUUUAGUUGCUUCUGGUGUGUUGAGAAUUAAAGGUUUGCUCUUGUCCAAUCCUCUAUGUGUAUGCACCCAAGCCUGAAUCUGGUUAACAUCUUCGCCGGUUUGUUCGGACUGCAUUACACUUGAUUCAAGACAUGUAAGAUAUCUAUAAUUCUUCAUAUGAUAAGUGAUAAUAAAGGAAACUACUAAGUUUAGUUGAUAACCAUUUUUUGACUUAUAGUAGUCAUCGAGUUGGAACCACCCUUGUGAGGCUUGAACUUUGAGCUGCAACGAUUGGCACGGUAUUUCUUUGAUUUUGCAAUCCACUCUUCACUGCACCACUCAUCAACUACAACAAUCCAAGCUUCUUUUCCUAACCAACCUUGCCUUUGCACCAAAUACUGAGCUCUAUCCAAAUAGUAUUGCCCAGCAAGCUUGUCAUUCAUGUUAGUGUUCUCAGUUUUUCGAAAAUGAUCAAUUAUGGCUUGGAUUCUUGAAUAGUAAAAUAUACUUGGCAAAAGUGCCUUGCAACAUCUUCGAACAUGUUGCUUUGCCUUCUGUGAGUAUGCAUCUUCAUACUUGUACCUUAGCUGCAAUGAGAAUUGAUAGAUGGUUUAAUAUAAAUAAGAGAAAAUUACCUUGGUCAACAAAAGAGAGCAAUUUAAAUAGUUAAUACCCAAAAAGCAUCUUCAAUUUUGUCUGCAACAGAAUGACCAUUCGUGUCCUUCACCGCAUGAUAAUGCUCCCACUCCGUUGCAACCACCUUCGCACCAUCAUAAUCCAGAAUACCGGGAUGGUUACUUUUCAGAAGGCAUGUCAAUACACUUGAUGGUCUUCUGCCCUUUCGAACAACAGGAAUGUCCUUCCAAUGCCUACAAAGAAGAAAGUUGUAAAUACAACAAACAAGUAUUAGAAAAGGAAAACAUAUUGCAGAACAAGAAAGUACUUAUACUAAAUAAUAAGACUUACGUCUUGCCAAUAGGUCGAAUGAUUGGACGAUUUUCAUUAUUUGGAAUAGCAGCAGGAAGAUCUGAAACUCCUCUUAUGUACCCAUCAUAAGUGCCAUCAGCAGCAGCAGUGUUUCGAGCAGCAGGCGCUGGUUUGAUCGCUACAGCAAGUUGAGAUGCUUUUCUUCCAAUUGUCAUCCUGUAAUGUGUGAUUCUUGAAACAAAUAAGAUAAAGAUAGCAAAGAACAGUUUACAACCAACAAGACAAUCAUGAUAAACAUAACAAUAGCAAAUAGAUAAGUGUUUCUUGCCAAGUCUUCAACCACCCAAAUUACAAACAACGAUAAUAAAUAGAAAAUGGGCUAGAAAUCAUCAUCAUCUUCUUCAAUUUCCUCAAUGAUCACUUCAUCAUAGUCUUCAUCCUCGAUAACUUGUUCCUGAAUCCUUUCACCACCCAAAUCAUGUCGGUUGCUAAUAUGUGACAAUUCGGUUGGAUCAACCACCUCAUCUGAACCACAUACUGUUAAGUUUUCAAGUUGUGAUCCUACUUGUACAAUGAAAUCAUUGGCAUCUAAACUAUUCUCUUGGAACACAUCUGCAUUAGUGGGUGUUGCUGUUGUGUAGUCAUCAUCUGUGGGAGUUUCUAGACUGCCUAGAGGUGGUACUCUGUAAGCAACUUGCCAAUCAAGAAGACUUGCAACGGAAGUGCAAGCAUAUGGAACAUAAUAGACUAAGCUCACUUGGCUGGCAAUAGCAAAACGCUCAUUGGCUGGAUUGGUUGAAGCAGGUGCUACUUCAACUAAGCCAAAUCUGUUCAAAUGUCUCACUCCUUUGGUUGGAUGAAACCAGUGACAAUCAAACAUCACAAGACUGAAGUCCUCAUCACCAUCAAAUUUAAGUUCUAUAAUGUCCUUAAUAACACCGUAGUAUUCAAGCUCCUCAUUGGUUGCAUCAUCUAUUCCAAGAGCAAGAACGCCGGUAUUUCUAGAUGAAAGGUCCCCUUCUCUGUGGUUUUCAUAUUUCUCGGAUCGAAAUCUGAACCCAUUAACUUCAUACAUGUCAUAUGAUUUUACUCUCAUGCUACAACCUCGCGAAAGAUCGCGUAAUUCUUUAUUAAUAGAUGCAUCCUUUAUGCACUGCAAGAAGAAAAUAUAUGUAUAUAGAGUUAUUAGGCAUAGAAAACUGUAGGGCGCUUUAUUUGCUAGUAUGUAUAGGUGCUUUACCAAAGUUUUGAACCAAUCCAACAAGUUUGGUUUUCCUGAACCAGCACCAUCUCGCCUAAGUUUAUCAAGUUCUUUUGUACUUGGUUGUCGAGGACGCCUCCAUUGGUCAAGUUCAAAUUGUCUACAUAUUUUGUGUAAACCAUCAGCACCAUUUUUUUAAUUGUACAUGAUUGUACUAGAAAUGCUAAUUUAGAGAACUUACUUCACAAUAUCAUCCAUUUCAGGCAUGUUUAGUAAGAUAAAAAUCAUGGAUGUCUUGUACUCUUCAUGUGAUAAGAUCCUAGGUUCCCCUCUACCAAUUUUCCAUCCCUUGUCUCCAAACAAACUAAGAGUACUUGUGCUGGUAGUGCUAGAUUGUGCAUAACGUUGGGGGCGAUUUCUUGAGGUAGGUACAUCAUCAGGAAGGUACAAAGAACUAAAGUUUGAAAUCUCCUCAACAAGAAAUGCCUCAACAAUUGAAGCCUCCACACGUGCUUUGUUACUAACUUUUGCUCUAAGCUUUUUUAUUAACCUACAUUGCCAUGUAACAAAUUAAUGCCCAAAUAGGAAAUACUACUACCAUAUGGACAGAAUGCAUGAAGAACAAAACAUACCUUUCAUAAGUAUACAUCCAACGAUACUUAACAGGCCCUCCUACUUUUGCUUGAUAAGGGAGGUGUAUCAUUAGAUGUUCCAUUGAAUCAAAGAACCCCGGUGGGAAAAUUUUCUCCAAUUUACAAAUUAGGACAGGAAUGUUUUCCUCCAAUUUAUCCAUUUGGUUAGGAUCUAUUUCUUUUGCGCAAAGCAGCCUAAAGAAAUAACUUAGCUCAGCCAAAGCCUCCCACACAUCAUUAUCUACAUACCCCCGCAGCAUGACAGGCAGCAACCGCUCCAUAAAUAUAUGGUAGUCAUGACUUUUGAGCCCAUAUAUCUUAAGUUGCUCUAGGUUAACACCUCGCUUCAUGUUGGCCACAUAUCCAUCUGGAAAUUUGAGCUGAAGAAACCACAACAGGACCUCUCUUAUUUGGUUCCUCUUCAAGCAAUAUGGUGCUCUAGGCUUUUCCCAUUUAUCAUUGGGCUUUUCUUGAAGGUUGAAAUCAGUUCUGCUACACAGUACAGCUUGGUCAAGGCGGGCUUUGGCAUUGUCUUUUGUCUUGUUAGGAAUGUCAAGGACAGUAUUGAAUAUUGCUUCUGCAAUUUUUUUCCGGUGUGCAUAACAUCUAUAUUAUGAGGAAGCAAAAGCUUUGGGAAGUAUGGCAAUUCCCACAACUUAGGAAUGUGUGUCCAAUUGUGUGUUACUCCAUAACCUUCAAAAUUGUUGUCCUUAACUUCAUUCAUGUAAGCAAAAACUUCAUCCCCUGUUAACCUACGUGGAGCAAUAUCCUUCACUACUGUAUCUUUUGAAAAGGCAUCACUCUGGGUCCUAAAUACAUGGUCGGCCCGCAGAAAUCGCCUGUGGCUAUCAAACCAACUCCAUUUGUGCCCAUUAUCCAGCCAAAUUGUUUGUGGAUCUGCCCCACACUCGUAACAAGCCAGCCCACCAUGGGUAGACCAUCCAGCAACCAUACCAAAAGCAGGGCGGUCAUGGACAGUUGUAUGCAAGGUUACCCUCAUAUUGAAAUUCUGCUUAAGGAAACUAUCAUAAGUUGGUACACCCGCCCAUGCCUCUUUCAACUCAUCAAAUAAAGGCUCCAUGUACACAUUGAAGUUCUUGCCAGGACUCUUUGGUCCAGGGAUCACCAUGCUAAGAAAGAUAUUUUGUGUUUUCAUGCAAAGAGCAGGUGGCAGGUUCAAAGGAGCAAGAAACACAGGCCAACAAGAGUAUUGUGUUAACCCGAAAUUAAAAGGGUUGAAGCCAUCAAAGGACUUGACUAGCUUAACGUUGCGUGGAUCACUUGCAAACCCAUCCACAUUGAAAUAUUUCCAUGAUUCACUAUCAGCUGGGUGCACCAUCAUUCCUGGAUUUUCUCGGUUGCCUUCCAUGUGCCAUCUCAUGUGCUUAGCAAAUUCAGGCUGCAUGAACAACCUUUGCAAUCUUGGUAGAAAUGGAAGGUAUCGCAGAACCUUACGUGGGAUGGGUUUACGCUUCUUAUUUGGGCAGUCAUUGUUAACUACCUUAUAUCUUGCUUCACCGCAGAAAUCACACUUCAGUUUUCUCUCUCUAUCCUUAUAGUAUAUCAUGCAAUGGUUAACACAUGCAUCUAUUUUCAAGAGUGGCAUUUUCAAACCAGCUAAGAUACACUUGCACUCAUACAAGCUUGAUGGCAUUUUAUUGCCUUGUGGGAGUGUAUCUUGCCAAAGUUUCAGUAAACUAUUUAUGCAGUCCCCUGACAAAUUGUAUUGUGACUUAAUUCCCAUCAAGCCUGUAACAGUAGCAAAGCGUGAGGUUUGGGUGAACUCAUGGAGUGGGUCUCUAACAGCUGACAACAUGGCAUAAAAAGCUUUGGCAUCUGGUGUUGGCUCCUCGUCUACAUUAUCAACAUGCAUUGCAUCCCCAAAGUCACACAACAUGUCCUCUAAGCAAUCAGUGUUGACAGACUCCACUCUAUCUACAUGAACAUGAUGCUCCCCAUGUGCAGUCCAUCUAAAGUAGUUGGGCAUGAAACCCCAAUGACAAAGAUGAGAGGUCAUCAAUUGUUUUGUUCUCCUACUACCAUUGCAACAUUUUGAGCAAGGACAAGAAACUCCAAACUUGGCACUACGGACACCCUCAAAAACAUGGUUCACAAAAGCAUUUGUAUUGCGUAUCCACUCAUCAGAAUGCCUUCCAUUAUCCUUCCACCCACUAUACAUCCAGCUAUGUUGAGCAUCCAAAGACAUGGUUUGGUUUGUACUUAAAUCUGAAAUAAAAAUGAAUUGCUACGAUCACGAGUCGCAUCCCAACAAAAAAUGAAUGCAUCAUACACACUAAUAUAGAAAACCACUCAUCACCAACAAAAAAUAACCCCACAUUCCCACAUCAUACAAGUGAACAAUGCAUUAAUCAACAUAGUUUUCAUGGAAAGAAGAAAUCAUAAUACCUACUUGAUUUAGCAAUGCCUUUCUUCUCUGUUGCUUUGAUGCCACGAGCAGGGAACUUUUCUUCAAGCAAACAACACCCGACACUUGUUAGUUUCUGAAAAAAUGUAGAAAACCAAUGAAGAAUGUUAGAGGACUUCCAUUUAUUCAUAACAUAAAAUAGAGACUCGGGUGGAAAAGCCCAACAAUUGCGGCUACUAGCUUGCAUAUGGAUAACUAAACAACAAUGGUAAAACGCACACGCAAUUUUGUCUACAUAACUACAGCAAUCGUAAAAUGCAGUAAUCUGACCACUGUUAACACGAGCAUAUAUAGUAAUCAAUGAAGCUAUUGUUUUUGUCAUUCAUGCAAUUGCAGUAGCUAUGAACAAAUUCAACAGAUAAACUACAUGAAACAUUUCCUGUUCACUGUGUUUAGUGUUUGUAUUCUGACCACAAUUUACAUGGUUGAAUGGCUCAUUCGUGUGUUCGUGCAUCUCCAUAUCAAUCAGUUCUUCUAUUUCUUAUUUUGCUAGAAAUUUCUUUUAUUCCUAUGAACUUCCAUACACCUUUUAACCAAGAUGUUUAAACUGAAAACCCCACCUGCUGGAGAAGAUACUGAACAGCAUCCACAUGUACUGAAUAGUGCACCACCUACUGCUUCCUUCGGAUGCUAAAACCAAAACAACAGUUUCAGAAUUUUGCUAGAAAUACACAAGUACAACUAUCUAAGCCCGCAAUCAAACAUCUUUCUAAACUAGAGGGGAAGAGAGAUAGAGACAACCUUUUGGACAGAAGCGGCUGCGUACAACAGAGCAGAUCGGGUGCUCGUCCAAUCAGCGGGGGCGGCACCGUCUCCACAUUCAAAGGGCGACGUGGUCAGCAGAGUUAAGGGCAUCGCGGAUGCGGUCACCACGGGUGGCACGACGCCGUCACCCCGGCCGGCGUGGCCAUUGCCACCACGCCCGUCGCGACUGUCACCGGUGCAGUACAGGGGGAAGAAGGGG